AAAUAGCGGGGAAAAAAAAAACAACAACAACAAACAGAAGAAAACCUGUAAGAGAGGGUAGUGUCUCCAUUCCCCUACUUGGGAGAAAAAUAAAUGUAAGUGUAAAGAUAUAGUUUGUUAAAGGUAAUUGUGUGUGACAGAGUGAAACAGAGGAAGACAGAGUGGAUAUAAUGGAAAGGGAAGAACAGAGGAAAGGACAGAACAUGUUCCAGUGGGCUCGAGAAACCACACCUAAGAGCCAUCUGUCCCACCUCAGCAACAUCAUGAUUGGCCCUGAGGAUUUCCUUUUUUUCUUUUUUGUUCUGAGAUCCUGUUUUAAGAUAAAGGACAGCCAACAUCCAAGGAAAAUGAAACAUUAAAUAAGUGAAAACUUUACAUUUUAUUUUAUUUUAAAUGUUUAUUUUGAGAGAGAGAGUAUGUGAGCAGGGGAGGGAUA